rnacentral:rRNA from 1 species
GGUAAAAGAUUUAUCGCUUUGAGAGGAGCUCGCGUCUGAUUAGCUAGAUGGUGAGGUAAAGGCUUACCAUGGCGACGAUCAGUAGCUGGUCUGAGAGGAUGAGCANCCCCACUGGGACUGAGACACGGCCCANACUCCUACGGGAGGCAGCAGUGGGGAAUUUUCCGCAAUGGGCGAAAGCCUGACGGAGCAAUACCGCGUGAGGGAGGAAGGCUCUUGGGUUGUAAACCUCAAAACUUAGGGAAGAAAAAAAUGACGGUACCUAAUAUAAGCAUCGGCUAACUCCGUGCCAUUAGCCGCGGUAAUACGGAGGAUGCAAGCGUUAUCCGGAAUCAUUGGGCGUAAAGCGUCCGUAGGUGGCAUUUCAAGUCUGCUGUCAAAGACCGAAGCUCAACUUCGGGCCGGCGGUGGAAACUGAAAAGCUAGAGUGAAGUAGGGGUAGAGGGAAUUCCUAGUGUAGCGGUGAAAUGCGUAGAGAUUAGGAAGAACACCAGUGGCGAAGGCGCUCUACUGGACUUAAACUGACACUGAGGGACGAAAGCUAAGGGGAGCGAAAGGGAUUAGAUACCCCUGUAGUCUUAGCGGUAAACGAUGGAUACUAGGUGUUUGUCCUGUAUCGACCCGGACAGUGCCGAARGCAAACGCGUUAAGUAUCCCGCCUGGGGAGUACGCACGCAAGUGUGAAACUCAAAGGAAUUGACGGGGACCCGCACAAGCGGUGGAGUAUGUGGUUUAAUUCGAUGCAACGCGAAGAACCUUACCAAGGCUUGACAUCCUGUGAAUCUCGAUGAAAGUUGAGAGUGCCUUAGGGAACACAGAGACAGGUGGUGCAUGGCUGUCCGUCAGCUCGUGUCGUGGAGAAGGUUGGGUUNAAGUCCCGCAACGAGCGCAAACCCUCGUCCUUAGGUGGCAGCAUUAAGUUGGGGACUCUAGGGAGACUGCCGGGGAGAACUCGGAGGAAGGUGGGGAUGACGUCAAGUCAGCAUGCCCCUUACGUCUUGGGCUACACACGUACUACAAUGGUAGGGACAAAGGGAGGCGAAACUGCGAAGUGGAGCGAAUCCUGUCAAACCCUGCCCCAGUUCAGAUUGUAGGCUGAAACUCGCCUACAUGAAGGAGGAAUCGCUAGUAAUCGCAGGUCAGCAUACUGCGGUGAAACCGUUCCCGGGUCUUGUACACACCGCCCGUCACCCCAUGGAAGUUGGUAACAU